rnacentral:sRNA from 1 species
CGUCCGCCUGUUGUGGACAUAUGAAGUGAAUAUGACUGUCGAUGCCGCCAGCUGUGAUAAUCUUUCCCUCGCCAGCCACGACAUCGGUACAGCUGCCCACGACCAUCCCUGGCGAUACGCCGUCCAUGACAUCAGGAUUGCCUGCCUUGCCAAUUCCCACAAUGUGGCCGUUCUUGACACCAAUAUCGGCUUUGUAGAUGCCCGUCCAGUCGACAAUGAGCGCAUUGGUCACCACCAUAUCCAGCGAAUCGGCAUCUAGUCGUCCAGUUGCUUGCCCCAUGCCCUCACG